rnacentral:rRNA from 1 species
GACGAACGCUGGCGGCGUGCUUAACACAUGCAAGUCGAACGGAAAGGCCCUGCUUGCAGGGUACUCGAGUGGCGAACGGGUGAGUAACACGUGGGUGAUCUGCCCUGCACUUCGGGAUAAGCCUGGGAAACUGGGUCUAAUACCGGAUAGGAGCCAUUUUUAGUGUGAUGGUUGGAAAGUUUUUUCGGUGUAGGAUGAGCUCGCGGCCUAUCAGCUUGUUGGUGGGGUAAUGGCCUACCAAGGCGGCGACGGGUAGCCGGCCUGAGAGGGUGGACGGCCAGAGGGGGGCGAGGGACCGCCCCGGCGUGCGGGGGAGGGGAGGGGGGGGAAAGAGGGCAGAGGGGGCGAGCGCUUGAGGCAGGGGGGCGGGGGGGGGGAGGAGUGCCGGCGGGUCGUAACCGCGUUUCGCGAGGGAGGAAGCUUGUUGCGACGUUCCCUAGAGAAGAAGCACCGCCAACCUACGUGCCAGAGGCCGCGGAAAGAAUGGGGGACCACACGUCUGACC